rnacentral:lncRNA from 10 species
UUCCAAACCUGGGCAUAAGUGUUGAGCUGGGGUGCCCUGCCCUGGGGAAGGGCAGGACAGGAAAGGUGACAGUAUCUGGCUAAGGAUAGAUGGGAAGGGACCAAGGGUGCUGAUUAGGGAAUGGUUAUGGACUAGGAGUAUCAGUAACAAUGGUUAGAAAGUGGCUAACAUUUGUUGAGCACCUGCUGUGUGCCUGGCCCCGGCUGGG